UACGUAGGGACCGAGCGUUGUCCGGAAUCAUUGGGCGUAAAGAGCGUGUAGGCGGCCACUUAAGUCCUGCGUGAAAUCUUGCGGCUCAACCGCAAGCGGUCGUGGGAAACUGGGUGGCUAGAGUGCGGGAGAGGAAAGUGGAAUUCCUGGUGUAGCGGUGGAAUGCGCAGAUAUCAGGAAGAACACCCGUGGCGAAGGCGGCUCUCUGGAACGCAACUGACGCUGAGACGCGAAAGCGUGGGGAGCAAACAGG
rnacentral:rRNA from 1 species